rnacentral:lncRNA from 1 species
UUGCAUGAGAGCUGGGAGUGUUUGGGGGUGGUGCUAGAGCCCCAGGUGCUGCUUUUCUGUUAAGCUGACCACCUGGCUGGCUGAGUGCUCCUUACAGGGACAUGGGGUAUGGGGAUGUAUGGGGUUACAGGGAAAUAAGGUAUGGGGAUGUAUGGGGUUAGUACUUGAUGUUUAAUACCAGGCUGUGUAAGAAGAGGUCUACUGCUGAAAGAAUAAACCCCCUCCCCCCCCCCCCCCCCGCCCCCACCAAAUUUUAAACUUCCUUCUAUUAGUGUCUGUGUGGUGGAAAAAAAAAUGCUGUGGUUCAUAAUGUCCCAGUGCCUGUGAAGGCAAUCAAAUUGUCCUUAAAUAUCAGAGCUUAUGCACUUGGAAAACUUCUCCAGCAUUGGAAAUGAGCCAUCGUGGACAGUAGCAGGGGAUUCUUCUGGAAGCCCUCCAGGCAUGGGCACAGGGUCCCAGCUGGCAGAGCGAGAGCAGCAGGUCACUUUUCCUACUGCCAGCUCCAAGUAGGUAGGAGAAAACCUGAUGGAAACCAUCGGCUUCCUUCUGGUUCUGCUGGGGGUUAUGUGCCUCGUGUUUGGCUGUGGGCCCUCUGCACCCUGUGGCUGUCUCCAGAAGGACACAGAAGAGAGGGCUCUGCAGUAAGCC